AACGUCCCGUAGUCUUUAUAACUCUAAUGGCUCGCUGUGAGCCGUGAGGAAGGCCAGGAAGGUGAUCAGCUGUGCCUUGUGUCAAAUUACCUUUCCCUUCACUCAGACGUCAUUACCUUGUGGCUGCGGCGUCUCUUUCUGCUGUCAUGAUUGUCGAGAUAUGGAGAAAGAGAGAUCAGUCAAAGAGGAGGAGGAAGAGGUACAGGAAGAUAAGAAGAAGAAAAAUGAAUGAAGAGAAAAAAGGAAAGUCUCCAAAUGAGGCAGAUGUCAGCAGGCAGGUCACCACCACCACCACCACCACCAGCUUAGGAAGCAGGGCAACCUUCAGGUGAAACACACCACCCAGUCACUCACUGCUGGUGUGGACGGGAGAAGCGCUGGUGUGGUGAUCUUUCUCCUAAAGUAUGGUGAGCAGCACUACACAAGGUUGUCACAGCGAUGGGAGGAGAGGUUGAUGUUCUUCCCAUACACCGUCUUGACCUGUUCGAUGCCAAACUGGCCGUACACAAACACACACUCCGAGGUGUAGCCAAGAGUGCGGAGGGAAUACAGGGAAGACAGGACCAUUGCUGGCCCACCGCACAUCACAAUCUGUGAGGCAAGAAACAUCCUUUUCUAACAAUCAGGCACCUUGCCCAGUGUGUACACCAUCUGCAGCCUGCUGUCCUGGUCUGCCAAGGAGAACACAAUAUCGAGAUAUGUGGUCUUGUUGGCGUGGUGGAACACUAAAGGCGGGAGAUAUCUUACUAAAGACACAUGAAGCGAAGCCUAGAUGGUGUCAGAACUGACAAGGGAUGGAGCAAGUAAUGAGAGAAGGAGUCUUGGAUAUAUGGAAAU